rnacentral:ncRNA from 1 species
AAAAGACUUAGUCCUAACCUUACCGUUAGUUUUUGCCAGAUUUAUACAUGCAAGUAUCCGCACCCCAGUGCAAAUGCCCCCAGCAUCUCAACUUAGAUCUUUAGGAGCAGGAAUAAGGCUCACACAACUGUAGCCCAAGACACCUUGCCCCGCCACACCCCCACGGGAACUCAGCAGUAAUUAACAUUAAGCGAUGAGUGGAAACUCGACUUAGCCAUGGCAAACACCAGGGUUGGUAAAUCUUGUGCCAGCCACCGCGGUCAUACAAGAAACCCAAAUUAACCACACACGGCGUAAAGAGUGGCACCUAAUUAUCCUCUAACUAAGAUUGAAAUGCAACCAAGCUGUUAUAAGCAAAAGAUGUACCUAACACCCUCCCCAUCAAACGAUCUUAGCCACACGACCAACUUAAAUCCACGAAAGCCAGGACACAAACUGGGAUUAGAUACCCCACUAUGCCUUGCCCUAAAUCUUGAUGCUUACUUACCUUAGCAUCCGCCUGAGUACUACGAGCAUAAACGCUUAAAACUCUAAGGACUUGGCGGUACUCCAAACCCACCUAGAGGAGCCUGUCCUAUAAUCGAUAACCCACGAUACACCCAACCACCCCUCGCAAAGCAGCCUAUAUACCGCCGUCGCCAGCCCACCCUUACACUGAAGGACCAACAGUGAGCACAACAGAAUCACCUCCCUAACAAGACAGGUCGAGGUAUAGCCUAUGAGGUGGAAGAGAUGGGCUACAUUUUCUACAAUAGAAAAAUCACGACAAGAAAUGUGAAAUCAUUUCUAAAAGGUGGAUUUAGCAGUAAAGCAGGAUAAUAAAGCCUCCUUUAAACCGGCUCUGGAGUACGUACAUACCGCCCGUCACCCUCCUCACAAGCUACUCACCACACAACUCCCUAAUACAAAACCAAGCUAAAGAUGAGGUAAGUCGUAACAAGGUAAGUGUACCGGAAGGUGCACUUAGUUUACC